AGUCGUAACAAGGUCUCCGUUGGUGAACCAGCGGAGGGAUCAUUACAGAGUUGCAAAACUCCAACAAACCAUCGCGAAUCUUACCCGUACGGUUGCCUCGGCGCUGGCGGUCCGGAAGGCCCUCGGGCCCCCCGGAUCCUCGGGUCUCCCGCUCGCGGGAGGCUGCCCGCCGGAGUGCCGAAACCAAACUCUUGAUAUUUUAUGUCUCUCUGAGUAAACUUUUAAAUAAGUCAAAACUUUCAACAACGGAUCUCUUGGUUCUGGCAUCGAUGAAGAACGCAGCGAAAUGCGAUAAGUAAUGUGAAUUGCAGAAUUCAGUGAAUCAUCGAAUCUUUGAACGCACAUUGCGCUCGCCAGUAUUCUGGCGAGCAUGCCUGUUCGAGCGUCAUUUCAACCAUCAAGCUCUGCUUGCGUUGGGGAUCCGCGUCUGACGCGGUCCCUCAAAAACAGUGGCGGGCUCGCUAGUCACACCGAGCGUAGUAACUCUACAUCGCUAUGGUCGUGCGGCGGGUUCUUGCCGUAAAACCCCCAAUUUCUAAGGUUGACCUCGGAUCAGGUAGGAAUACCCGCUGAACCUAAGCAUAUCA
rnacentral:misc_RNA from 1 species